AGUGAACAUUGAGAGGAUAGAGCUGAAGACCCAGGCGCACAGGAAGAGUGAGAAGCUGGCAGAGUACCUGUUUGAGGUUCUGUGGUCAGAUUCCACUGUAUCAACAGUCUUGAAAGCUGCUCCAGACCUGACUGAAUUUCUCUCAAAGCUCCCUCAGCUGUUUCCAGAUGAAGAUUUCGAGAAACUUAUUCCACAGCUGCCCGGCCUGGACUCUGCCCCUGACCCAGAUCCCAGAUGCCUGGUGUCUCUGCCCUCCCACGUGUUGAAAAACGACCAAGUCAAGCACUUCUUCAGCGCCCCCUCAGUGGCUCAGUGCCCUCAGAGCACAAAUUUUGCCUAUGUUUCCCAACACAAAGCCUCCAGCACUGCCGUAAGG